AUGAGGUGGAGCUGGAGGGUGCGAUCUGGUUGGGGCAUGGUAAUUUCAUUAACCUGGCUGCAACAAUUAAGCAAUCAGCACGCGUAUAUAGGACCCGGUUGUGGUUGCGUGUGUGACUGAUUUGCAAGCGUGACGUGACUCUCCGUGCGCUAGUAUCUCCUUUUCCGGAAGUUGUGGCUAUAUCCAACGCUGCAGGUAGGGCAUCAGUGGACGGGGUCGUUUGCUUGCCGUAUGGGUGGUUGUAAUGUGCUUUUGGUAUCUUUCUUACAGUUGCAAGGGCGUAGUAAAUCUAGCAGCUUGCGGUUGCUUCCGCUUUUAAGGCUUUCCAACUUUUACCGCGUGUAAUCUGCCAGUGGAUCGCGACUUGGAGUGUCCCGGACCGAUGUGAGCCAGACCAUCAACGGGAUACUAAGUCACUACAAUUGCUGCUGUUUUGCCCGGAUGUUUUAUGUUUUGUUUCAUGUUUUAAUUGGUUUUAAGUAUUUAUGUGUUUUAUUUAUUGGGGGGUGUCGUUGGGAAGGUGUGGUGCUGGGCGGUGAGGAUCCGUGUCGGGCGAUACCGCGCUGCGUGGUCGCGUUGCGUUCUUUUAGCCCACCCCUUGGGUGGAUGUACGGCGGGACCCCUUAGAGUGUUGUCUGACUGUACGCCUCCCAUUCCCCUCCCGAUAACAGCUGCCUGGUUUGGGUUUCCUCUUUUGUCGUAUGAUUGGAGUGUUUUAACCAUGAUUUGAUGUGUAUUAUUUGUGCUGUGGUUUUUGUUUAGUAAUUUGCUGUUUGGUUUAUUGGUGUUUUUAUUUUGAGUGUUAAUAGCCAGCAGCCUAAUAAAGGGAGUGUUUAUGGUCUUCGCGUCUCCCCUAUGGUGAUCACGAAUCUGUGUCCUUUUAUAUUGGAGUGGGUUUUGAACUCCGGUAUUCUAAUUCUCUGGGUGAAAUUCCCAGAGUGGCGUAGUCGGCUUGUCCAUUUCCGUAUUCCCUCGCUACUUCCUCCCUCAGUAACGCCACACACUGAUACUGCACAAAUGUGUUUGAAGAUGAAGCCCUUGACAGUCUUACCUUUUGUUCCUGCACUUUUGUUAACCAACCACAGCUGCCUUGUGUUUACUCCUCUGUUAGUCAUGUAUAUUAGCGUCUCUCCGUCCUGUGCUCCCUGCUCACUCAUUGUUCUCUGUCUGUGUGUGAGAUCUUGCCUUUUCCAUGCAAAUAAACACCCCUGCAGCACCCUGAUACACCCUGCAUGCGGCUCGUCCUUCUCCCACUGCCUACGUGCCAUCCACAGGUACUUUCUUUGACAAAAAUUAUAUAAUUGAUUUUUGCCUCCAUACCGUAUAAUAAAAAUCUUUUUAUAAAUGGCAA